UUUUUAUAAUAGCACACACAAGCUCAGCGACAUGGACAUUUUCAGCAGCUACUCUUUCAACAAGAUAAUGAAUAUGGAGUUAAUAGGGAGUUAUUUCUCAGAAUAAGAAAGUACUUGUAUUGUAUUAGUAUUUUAAGAAUGAAGAACACAUAUUUUUGUUUUAUUGUCAUUCAUAUUCUGAUACAACACUUAGCUUGUGGAUUUGAUGUACAAAUUUUCUACAAAUUUUUCGCAAGCUUUCAGUUGUGGGUUUGGAAAUUCACUUGUGCUGGAGGACAUAAUGAUUGUACAUAUAUAAUUAUUUCCAGCAAUCAUAAUUUUCUAAAAAUCUGAAAAUAACACAUAAUUUCCAACAAUCAAUAUAAAGAACUACAACACUUCAUCAGUUGAUUGUCUUUGGUCUGGUUGACAGAAUUAUGGUCAUCACUCCGGCCUCUCAAGCACAGACCUACAUCCCAAUCACUCAUGUUGAUCAAAACCUACAAAGCAAAGAGAAUAAUGUAUUACUGCGACAUGUAGUUCGAGCUCCAUAAUGUACACAUAUGCAUAUAGAUGCUUUCCCUCCCCCAACUUUGAAGGGGAGGGAUUUUACCAUUAUCAAAAUUCAUCAUAAGCUAAAACAGAUCUAAAGAAGCAACAUAAGUUUCUUUAAACUUAAAAAAAAAAUUAAAAAAAGGCUUGGUGUCAUGGUGGAUUGGUGGUUGUUUUAGGCAAGUUCCAAUUUAUUCAUUUGGAACCGGUACUAUGUAACUCAAUAUAUUCUUUCCAAGAUAGGCAUCUUCCAUCAUUCUCAUUCUUGACAGGUUAAGCCAAUGUACAGGAUGCAAUUAUCUAAAAGAAAAUUCUAGCCAAGCACAAUAUAUAUUUUAUAGAGUGGAAUCAUUUGGGAAAGAAAACAAAGAAUUCACAUAAUUCAAAUAAUCAAAAAGCUCCACAAAAGCAAGUAGCCAGAUGCCAGAAUCUCAAAAGAACAUCUAACAAUAAAGAACCCAAAUAAGAAACAAACAAAUGAACUGAAAAAGCACCUGAUCCAAAUUGCCUCAGCUCACAGACGGCACAAAAGCUUCCCCUUUUUAAGCUUCCUUGAACAAAAUAGCAAAAUCUCUUAAAACUCACUAAGCUAAGUGUUUUUGUUUUCAGACACAAAACUAAAGUAACUGACUUGCCCAAUACAAAGAAAACUUUACAACAGAAUCUAAAAAGAAUUUUAAACUGUGCCGAUAUUCUCAACACACUGAGCAAAAAAUAGUUUACCAUGAAACAUAACUAAAUCUUCACAAACUCAUAAUCCCACACAACUAAAUUUGAAAUUAAUGUAAUGAAUUGAAGCAAACUACCUUCAGAAUUUGAUUAAGGCAGCUGUCAGAGACGAGACAACGGCAGCUGAGGAGAGAACCCCACGGCGGAAGCCGCAAUUCAAUUUUCUAAGAGAGCCGAGAGAGUGAGGUGUCGUGAGGGAGCGAGACGCAGCCGACCGCGCCGGGGGGGGGGGGGGGGGGGGGGGGGGGGGCGCUUACAGUGAGGAGGAAGCGUGGUGAGAUUUGUUGGCGUGAGGGAGAACGCGUGUGGGUUUGGAAUGGCGCGUAUGUGUUGCGAUAUUUCCGCUACAGUUAGAAUUUAUACUAAGCACAAAACGCACCGUUCUGUGCUCAGUGUGGUUCUCACUGUGGUGAGAAUCUCAUUUUCCAACUUAUUAAGCAGCUGCUUCAAUUUCCUUUCUUUUCCAUGAUUAAUCUUUGCUCCAGUUCUUUAGUUUAUCCAAUGAUACUUUUGGUUUCUUCUUAAACAUUUCAACCGGAUUAUCGCCAUUCCAACAGUUCACCUUCCUCUAUUCAUACUCAACAAUCUCUCUACAUUUCUCGUACGAACUCCGCAUAUCUUCAUAGUAGACUCUUAGAUAUGUUCUCAUCAUAUAUUUUACCCUUCUCUUUCUCCAACACCUCCAUCAAAAUUGAACUAUGAUUUAAUCUCCAAGAAACUAAAUUCAGAGCUACCUUUUCUUAGAAAUAGUUUUUCCAACUACUAUUAUAC
rnacentral:lncRNA from 1 species